UGGACUGUGAGUGCCUAGUGGGCUGCUUUUGGUAAGCAGAACUGGCAGCAGCAGAGAACUG
rnacentral:miRNA from 1 species